AGAUAAUAGCAGGGAGAGUUGAUAUGAGAUACCUUUUUCCUCAUGACGAGUAUACAUGCAUGGAUCUCAUAGGAAGGAGGAAGAACACAGGGCUUCUCAAGAAGCUCGAGCUAAAGACGCUGAAGCCGUCGAAACAGGAGAGAUUGGAGGAAGAACAUUGGCUUAUCUCCCAGAAGUGAUCUACAAGCCACUGGUGAAUAAGCAUGUAUGAUUUGGCGGUGAAUCUCUUGCAAAGUAUCAAUGGGCUGGGACUAUCUACGAAUGGGAACAAGGUUAUACAUGCAGUUUUUUGGUAAUGCUAUGGAGAAUUUAGAAAGCACAUAACGAGAAAGUGUAACUGGCAGAAACAUCUACAUCUAUAACUAUGAGUUGGUUGAAGAGAUAAAGUAAGCAUCUUUCGAAUUGAUUUAGCAUAGAUCAAGAUUCAUAUGAGUAACAUGGAGUGAUUGGCGUAUAUUAGAUUUACAAUCUAAAUUUUUUUAUGCUUGCUGUACAACACUAUUUGCUACUUUUGUUGUAUGUUUUAGUAGCAACUUACUCAUGAA